CUCCAUCCCUUACCUGACCCUUACAGACACAGAUGCCGGACCCGAAGACGUUCAAGCAGCACUUUGAGAGCAAGCAUCCCAAAUCCCCAAUGCCCCCAGAGCUGCAUGAUGCUGAGGCUUAAAAGACCAAUGCACACAAUGGACCUACAGCUGGGUUAAGAAGCUCUCAUCAUUCAGACUCCCAGUUUACAUACACACGAUGACCACGAUUAGAGUGCUGCAACUGGAACUUAAUGGCGUCAAGAGACAAAAUACUGAGACCCCUGGACAUGUGUAUAUUUAUGACAAGGACAUAAAAAGGGGGGCAGAAGCACACCAGCACCCUAUCUUAUAUGUCCAACCACCCCUCAACUUCAGACUCUUUUGAAGCACCCAUCUUAAUUAUAUGAGCCCACUCUACCUACAUCCCUUUUCCCCAUGCUGC